CGAAACAGGUAUUUCAUCGCUUCCCGUUUCGGCGGGGAGAGGAAAGUCCGGGCAACACAGGGCAAUCCGCCACCUGAAAGGGUGGGUGCAGAAACAGGAAUGUUUUUGUAACAGACAGUGCCACAGAAAACCAGGUAGCCGGUAUGGAAACAUGCCGGUCAUAGUGAAAAUGUGAGGUAAGAGCUCACAUCCCGGGCUGGUAACAGUUCGGGAGGGUAAACCUCGGGUGUUGUAAGGCCAUGUAUACCCGGAUUUUGCGGCGGCCCGCUGCAAUUACGAAAGUAAUAUCCGGGAGGGUAGGCUGCAUAGAUAAAUGAUGAAAGCUCUGCUUGCAGAGAACAGAACCCGGCUUAUAGCCUGUUUUUUAAA
rnacentral:RNase_P_RNA from 1 species